rnacentral:rRNA from 1 species
AUUGAACGCUGGCGGCAGGCUUAACACACGCAAGUCGAGCGGGGUGAUGGUGCUUGCACUAUCACUUAGCGGCGGACGGGCGAGUAAUGCUUAGGAAUCUGCCUAUUAGUGGGGGACAACAUCUCGAAAGGGAUGCUAAUACCGCAUACGUCCUACGGGAGAAAGCAGGGGAUCACUUGUGACCUUGCGCUAAUAGAUGAGCCUAAGUCGGAUUAGCUAGUUGGUGGGGUAAAGGCCUACCAAGGCGACGAUCUGUAGCGGGUCUGAGAGGAUGAUCCGCCACACUGGGACUGAGACACGGCCCAGACUCCUACGGGAGGCAGCAGUGGGGAAUAUUGGACAAUGGGGGGAACCCUGAUCCAGCCAUGCCGCGUGUGUGAAGAAGGCCUUAUGGUUGUAAAGCACUUUAAGCGAGGAGGAGGCUCUUUUGGUUAAUACCCAAGAUGAGUGGACGUUACUCGCAGAAUAAGCACCGGCUAACUCUGUGCCAGCCGCCGCGUAA